GGAUGUGAGGGUGAUCUGGCUGUGACAUGUGUCACCCCAUUGAUCGCCAGGGUUGAUUCGGCUGAUCUGACUGGCUAGACGGGUGUCCCCUUCCUCCCUCACCACUCCAUGUGUGUCCCUCCCAAAGCUGUGCGCUCGGUCGAAGAGGACGACCUUCCCCGAUAGAGGCGUACCAUUCAUCGGUCAAGGGUAUAUGGUAGCUGCGUUCCCAUGCUAGAACCUCCAAACAAGCUCAAGAUCCAUUUGAGGAGAACGUAGGGUAGUCAAGCUUCCAAGACUGCAGACACAUCCAAGUGAGGCACUGCAUGGGGCAGUCUGCCAUUGUU
rnacentral:snRNA from 1 species